UCGAAAAGGAGAGUGGAGACUUUUUAAGAUUUCAAAGAAAAACGGAAUGAGCACUAAUUUGGACUUGUAUGCACGAAAAUAAUAUGACAAAAAUGUGGUCAUCGUCAUGUUUACUUUAGUGUCGCAGCUUUACAUCGCUAUGCUCUCCACUCCAUGUUGUUUGGCAGAUCUGAGGCCUGAGCCAGCCAUCGUAACAGCAAAGUUUUGCUUGUGCUGGACCUCCAGUCACAUUUUUCGACUGAUGACCUCCUGUCAUCAGCAACAAUCACAGUUUCAUCGUUAAGGAUAAACAGCAUCCCGUUUGAUUGGAGACACUUUCAGUGUCGAUCGAGUUUAAAUGUCUUCGUGUACGCCCAUGUGAAUGUGGGUGUAUUCACGAGGACUCCCUUUUACUCAUCUCUCCUGGUCGAUUCAACUUUUGGAUGGAGCACUUGUGGAUGCCUGGCUGUAUUUCCCAGGCUUAAAGGUAGGACACAUUCAUCUCUAUUCUUAUUUUUUGACAUUUUUGGUGGCGUUGAUUUUUUUAAAUCGUUGUCGAGUACGGAGUACCUACGAUUAUUCCUGGGCCAUGCAGUUGGCUGAAACUAUUUUAUCUUGCUGUUUUUGUUUUUCUCAGUCAACGACUGCAGAUCAGGCCUGUUUUUGCACCUCGCAACUUUGUAUGCUAAACAAUCAAAUUCAGAAAUAUUUGAACUGGAAACACUCGAAGCAAAUUGCAACUUGAAUCACUUUUUUCAC